rnacentral:rRNA from 1 species
GGGAAGUAAAAGUCGUAACAAGGUCUCCGUUGGUGAACCAGCGGAGGGAUCAUUACAGAGUUAUCCAACUCCCAAACCCAUGUGAACUUAUCUCUUUGUUGCCUCGGCGCAAGCUACCCGGGACCUCGCGCCCCGGGCGGCCCGCCGGCGGACAAACCAAAACUCUUGUUAUCUUAGUUGAUUAUCUGAGUGUCUUAUUUAAUAAGUCAAAACUUUCAACAACGGAUCUCUUGGUUCUGGCAUCGAUGAAGAACGCAGCGAAAUGCGAUAAGUAAUGUGAAUUGCAGAAUUCAGUGAAUCAUCGAAUCUUUGAACGCACAUUGCGCCCAUUAGUAUUCUAGUGGGCAUGCCUGUUCGAGCGUCAUUUCAACCCCUAAGCACAGCUUAUUGUUGGGAACCUACGGCUUCGUAGUUCCUCAAAGACAUUGGCGGAGUGGCAGUGGUCCUCUGAGCGUAGUAAUCUUUUAUCUCGCUUCUGUUAGGUGCUGCCCCCCCGGCCGUAAAACCCCCAAUUUUUUCUGGUUGACCUCGGAUCAUGUAGGAAUGCCCGCUGAACUUAAGCAUAUCAAUAAGCGGAGGAA